GGAAACCAACAGCAAUGCUGAGGGAAGAAAAACCACAUGCUCUGACAGCUGAGUGGUUCAUGACCGCUGCUCACAAGGCAAAAUGAAGGGUGGUAGUGGCUGGUGACUCACUUCUCUCAGUAACAGAAACAUGCAUUUGUUGGUGUGACCUAAUGCUUAUGGAGAGGUUCUGCCCAAAUCAGAGCUAUUGCAUGAGUUUGCCAAGGCUCAUUCAGCCAUCCGACAACUCCUCCAUGUGGCUCAUUCACUUGGGAGUUAAUUCUGCUACUCUAGGAACAAGCUAGAGAAAUCCAUAAGAAACAGCAAGGCUCCUGGACUGAUGAUGAGAGAACGGGAGCCUCAGCUGGUGUUCUUAUCAAUCCCAUCGGAGAGGGUAAAAGCCUGAGCAAGGACAGGCACAUCCUGGAGAUAAAUAUAUGGCUAUACAGAUGGUGCAGCUUUAGAGGACUUUGGUUUCCUGAAGGGGGGAGGAGGUAUUCAUAAUAGGGUCAUAAGAGGGACAAGAAGGAAAUGACUGAAUCAGUCAUAGAUACGUGUAAAUUAUUUUGCCUUAUAUGAUGCAGGAUGCACAUGUUCACUCUGAGAUCUGGAAUCUGGUGGGAGACAGACCUGCUGAAAUUCUCCAGGGUAAUAACUGAAGAAGGAAAGGGCAUCUUUGGGAAAGAAACACAGCAGGACAUGGAGAAUGAAAAGUUGGGAAUGAUACAGAGAAAAAUUAAUCUUUUUGUUGCUUCAGUUCCAUUGUCAGUUGCUGGAAAUUUUAUCCAUUUUGAGAAAAACAAAUGUAGAGAAAAGACUAUGAGAAAUAGUCAUGACAUUGGGAAUACCAUCUGCUCUGGAAUGGUGUAAGAUCUGUGAUGGAUGUAACUACUCCUCUGAGAAACUUUCAUGUCACUUGCAGGUGAGACUUAACUGUAAAGUGUGCAGUUAUUCCAAAGGAACUGAGCUACCUCUGAGCCUACAGUUAAAGAGUUAUUUUUAGAUAUCCUCAGUUCAGUCUAUAGCAUAUCUCAAAGGCUUUGAAACCAGUGUAGAGCUUGGAAGACAAGUUGUGUUGCUGACAGAUUCAUAUUCUGGAAUAUGGUAUGAAUUUAGUCCAUUUCAGGAGAGAAAAAGACAUAAAUAACUGUACCUUUUCCUUAUCUGUCAGGUAGAACAUUCUUUCAUCAGCGGGAGCUAACUGAAAAUUUAUCCACGAGCAGUUCUGUUCGAAAUCUUUGUGAGUAAGUCAAAAAUCCCUUUCAUCUGUGUGAAGAAAAGUAGAGAGCUACAUUCAGUUUUAAAUAUAAGUAAAAUCAAAAAAAAAGAAAAAGGAGUGGGGUGCGGGAGAAAAAUAGAAACAACAGGAAUGCAUUUCCUUUAACCUCUGUUUAGUUGAUUUUAUCUCAUAAACUAUAAUGAAAAAAUGUAUAUGUCAGGCCCCUAAAAAUAAAGUGUUUACCAACAAUGUAUGUGUGAUACA
rnacentral:lncRNA from 1 species